rnacentral:rRNA from 1 species
CGGACGGGUGAGUAAUGCCUAGGAAUCUGCCUGGUAGUGGGGGACAACGUUUCGAAAGGAACGCUAAUACCGCAUACGUCCUACGGGAGAAAGCAGGGGACCUUCGGGCCUUGCGCUAUCAGAUGAGCCUAGGUCGGAUUAGCUAGUUGGUGAGGUAAUGGCUCACCAAGGCGACGAUCCGUAACUGGUCUGAGAGGAUGAUCAGUCACACUGGAACUGAUACACGGUCCAGACUCCUACGGGAGGCAGCAGCU